rnacentral:rRNA from 1 species
GGAAUAUUGGACAAUGGGGGCAACCCUGAUCCAGCCAUGCCGCGUGAGUGAAGAAGGCCUUCGGGUUGUAAAGCUCUUUUGGCGGGGACGAUGAUGACGGUACCCGCAGAAUAAGCCCCGGCUAACUUCGUGCCAGCAGCCGCGGUAAGACGAAGGGGGCUAGCGUUGUUCGGAAUUACUGGGCGUAAAGCGCGCGUAGGCGGACUAUUAAGUCAGGGGUGAAAUCCCGGGGCUCAACCCCGGAACUGCCUUUGAUACUGGUAGUCUUGAGUUCGAGAGAGGUGAGUGGAAUUCCGAGUGUAGAGGUGAAAUUCGUAGAUAUUCGGAGGAACACCAGUGGCGAAGGCGGCUCACUGGCUCGAUACUGACGCUGAGGUGCGAAAGCGUGGGGAGCAAAC